UACGUAGGGUGCAAGCGUUGUCCGGAAUUAUUGGGCGUAAAGAGCUCGUAGGCGGUCUGUCACGUCGGCUGUGAAAACCCGAGGCUCAACCUCGGGCCUGCAGUCGAUACGGGCAAACUAGAGUACUGCAGGGGAGACUGGAAUUCCUGGUGUAGCGGUGAAAUGCGCAGAUAUCUGGAGGAACACCGGUGGCGAAGGCGGCAUCCUGGACCAACACUGACGCUGAGGAGCGAAAGCCAGGGGAGCAAACGGG
rnacentral:rRNA from 1 species